AUAGUCUGUCCUUUUUCCGAGAAUCUUGAGUAAUGUUUCUUUUCUUGUUUAUAUGAUUCGUAUUGGAGAAGUUUGUUAUUGUUAUGAUAUACCAUUCUUCAUGGAAAAUUUCAAAUAAAUCAUUAAAUAUAUUGUGAAUAGGGGAGACUGAAAAUAAAUAAAAACCGACCGUAUCAGAAUAUUUUUCAAUAUGUCUGAAGAAAUAAAGGAGGAAAAACCUGAAUUACCCAUUAAAUCAUCCAUGGAAAUUUUGUCUGAAUUAUUUAGUACAUUUCAUGCCAAACCACCUAUCAUUAUCAAAAAGGAAAAAUCUGAUAAUAAUAAAAAACAUAAAAAGAAAAAGAAACAUAAACACAAGGAUAAAAAACACAAGAAGAAAGAUAAGAAGAAAAGACACACUAGUAGCAGUUCGAGUGAUAAUGAUGAAGUGGAUCUUGCAAAAAUUCUUAUUAAAAAUGAAAAAAGCUUGGCAGAAAAAAAAAUUAAGGUGGAAGGAAAUAAUGAGAAAGAUGUUGAAAAUAAUAUAGAAGAGGAAGGAAAAGAAGAGAAGAAAGAUUCUAGAUCUACUAAGAAAAUAAAAAGUAAAAUAUUUAUAAAAGAUCUAAAGUUGAGUUCUAUUUUUGAAUCAACUAUACAAGAAAUACAUGAAAAAAUUAUUGAACAAGAGGAAGGAGAGGCUUCAGAAUCAGAUUCCAGCUCGAACCAUAAAAAGAAAAAGCACAAGUCGAAAUCAAAGAAACGCAGUCGAAGUAGUAGUGACGAACAUCGAAAAAAGAAAAUGAAAACUGAUGAUUCAAAAGUAAGAAGAAAUGAUUCUAGGUUCAGGGACAGAAGUAAAGAAAGAAGAAAACAUAGAGAAAGAAGUCGUGAUCGUAGUAGAAGUCGAGAGAGGCGAAGUCAGGACAGAGAUAGCAGAAUGAAAGACACUCAUAGGGAGAGGAAACAUAUAUCUAGAGAUAGAGACGAAUAUAGCAGAGAAUUGGAGGACUACAAGAGGAGUAGGAAUAAAAUCAGUGAUGACGGGUUUUAUAAACCAAGGGAAAGUAAUAAGGAAGAGAGAGAAAAUAAAUGGUUUAUGAGAGACAGGUACAGAGGUUACAACGAGAGAGACAGAAAUAAUGAAAGGAAUUCAGAAUCAAGGUUUGACAAGAAAAAAUUAUUGGAAAUCGCCAGAAAAAAUGCCAUAACCAUGAUGAAAUCGGGAAGCCUUCCAGCUGCAUUGACACUAGGACCGCAAGCACAAGAAAAGGUAAUAGCAGCAAUAAAAUCAGGAGGCAAAACAAUAGAGGAAUUGACAGAUUUUUGCAAGACAUUAUCGAAGAAAGAAGAAUUGGGGGAACUUUCUAGUUUAUCUGAAAAAGAUGAUAGCGAUAGUGACCCUGAUAAACCAUUCCAUCAUCCAUUCCAGUUGAAGGAUAGACCCACUUCCAUAACAAUGAAUAUAAAGAACUCGGUUCCGCUUCCAAUUAAAUCCAGUAUGGAAAGGACCAGUGAGCUACGCAUUCAGUUUCCCGUAAGCAGCGGUCAGCAACACCGCAAAGGAGAAGAGUGGAUGCCUGUAUCACCACCAGCAAAGAAGACUGACAAUAAACCUCCUCUUCCUGUCCCACCACCAACAAAUUCCAUUGUUCUACCGAUCGAACCUACUCCGGUUCCUCUAGUGGCGCCGCCAGUAGUUUUACCUAAAAUUGUAACUGUUUCUGCUCUACCCAAUGCACCUCCAGGACCGCAAGUUUUCCCGACCCCUGUUAAUGAGCCUACGGCAGAUAUUGGAUCAAUAGUUUCACAGAGACUGACUGCAAUUCGUAGAUUACAGGAAAACCCCCACGAUGUACAGGCUCUCACUCAGAUGUACAAGUCCAAUAAAGAGAUGCAGUCAUGGGCUACCAGCAAACAGCAGCUAGGUCAGUUUACUGGAUCAACAGGUGCUCAAAUAUUGUCACAGGCUGAGUUGUCAUCAGGCUAUCAGGCCUGGGCCAAAAAGGCCAAUAAAAUAUUGAACAAAGGUCCAACGCGAGAAGUUUUGGAGAUCCACGGUAUCAACAUCUGGAUCAACUUCAAACUGCUGCUCCUGUAUCAGGAGGUAUGGGAAUGCAUCUCCUUCAGAAAAUGGGUUGGAGACCCGGAGAAGGUUUGGGUAAAGAAAAAUCCGGGGCACUAGAACCACUCCUGUUGGAGGUAAAAUUGGAUAAGAAAGGUUUGGUUGCUAAUGAGGAGCAACGCGGAAAGAACAGAAAAGUCAAAGGUGCACCUGUUGUGAAGAAUUUACAGGGCAAGCACCCUGUUUCCCUGUUGGGAGAGUACGCGUCGAAGAAAAAGUUGGGUGCUCCCCAAUAUAUUUUGGAGUUUGAGUGCGGUCCAGAUCACAAGAAAAAUUUUCUAUUUAAGGUUGUACUUAAUGGAAUGGAAUACAAACCAAAUGUAGCAAGUAACAAUAAGAAGGAAGCCAAGGCAAGCGCAGCGACAAUUUGCCUACAACAAAUAGGGCUUCUGCCUCCUUGAAUAUAAUUAUUACAUUCUGAGUAAUUUUCUGUUGUAAAUAAAUUGUUGAUUUUUUGUGUUAUCUUAUUGAUUGA